rnacentral:rRNA from 1 species
UACGUAGGUGGCAAGCGUUGUCCGGAAUUAUUGGGCGUAAAGCGCGCGCAGGUGGUCCUUUAAGUCUGAUGUGAAAGCCCACGGCUCAACCGUGGAGGGUCAUUGGAAACUGGGGGACUUGAGUGCAGGAGAGAAAAGUGGAAUUCCACGUGUAGCGGUGAAAUGCGUAGAGAUGUGGAGGAACACCAGUGGCGAAGGCGACUUACUGGACCACGACUGACACUGAGGCACGAAAGCGUGGGUAGCAAACAGG